AAGGUAAAGAUUAAUCCUAAUAUUCUCUCUUUUUUAAUUUGUGUAUUCAUCAAAGCUUUUUCUUCUUCUGAAACAUCAGCAUUAAUCCCUCCCCCUCCUUUCUGCACAUGAUCAAACUCUGAUGAAACUGCACUAAAGUGAUGAAAUUAAUUAGCUCACAUUUUGAAUCUCAUUAAUUUCAUCGUUUUUUCUUCUUCUGAAACAUCUGCAUUAAUCCCCCCCUCCUUCUGCACACUCUGAUGAAACUGCACCAAAGUGAUGAAAUUAACUAGCUCACAUUUUGAAUCUCAUUAUUUUUUUUCUUCCACUUAUGUCAGAUUUUCUUCUUAUGAUCUGAUUAAAAAAUGAGCGGUCUUUGUGACUUUUAUCUAAUCGUAAUAUCACGUCAACUGUAAAGCAUCUUUAUAUGAUAAUAUUUUUUUUCUUAUCCCUCUCUUUCUUCCUGCAGAUCCAAUCCCAUCACUCCAUUAAAUUAGGGGUGUAUUGACUCAUUUGCCUUCAACUCAAAUAAACAAAACUGCUGCUUCUGCUUCAACUUAAAUUGACUUAUUUUUGCGAUUUUCAGGUUUUCUUACAUGUAGUUUUAUGUACAGCAAAUGAUACUUAUUGUAGAUUUUAUUAUCGAUUAUUAAAUUAGGGGCAGAUUCAACUGAGAAUCUGAGAUAACUG
rnacentral:lncRNA from 1 species